rnacentral:rRNA from 1 species
GUGCUAUAAUGCAGUCGAGCGACAGAGAAGGAGCUUGCUCCUUUGACGUUAGCGGCGGACGGGUGAGUAACACGUGGGCAACCUACCUUAUAGUUUGGGAUAACUCCGGGAAACCGGGGCUAAUACCGAAUAAUCUAUUUUACUUCAUGGUGAAAUACUGAAAGACGGUUUCGGCUGUCGCUUUUAGAUGGGCCCGCGGCGCAUUAGCUAGUUGGUGAGGUAACGGCUCACCAAGGCGACGAUGCGUAGCCGACCUGAGAGGGUGAUCGGCCACACUGGGACUGAGACACGGCCCAGACUCCUACGGGAGGCAGCAGUAGGGAAUCUUCCACAAUGGGCGAAAGCCUGAUGGAGCAACGCCGCGUGAGUGAAGAAGGUUUUCGGAUCGUAAAACUCUGUUGUAAGGGAAGAACAAGUACAGUAGUAACUGGCUGUACCUUGACGGGACCUUAUUAAAAAGCCACGGGUAACUACCUGCCAGCAGCCGCGGUAAUACGUAGGUGGCAAGCGUUGUCCGGGAUUAUUGGGCGUAAAGCGCGCGCAGGCGGUCCUUUAAGUCUGAUGUGAAAGCCCACGGCUCCACCGUGGAAGGUCAUUGGAAACUGGGGGACUUGAGUGCAGAAGAAGAAAGUGGAAUUCCCAGUGUAGCGGUGAAAUGCCUAGAGAUUUGGAAGAACACCAGUGGCGAAGGCGACUUUCUGGUCUGUAACUGACGCUGAAGCGCGAAAGCGUGGGGAGCAAACAAGAUUAGAUAC